CCGGAUUGGAGUCUGCAACUCGACUCCAUGAAGUCGGAAUCGCUAGUAAUCGUGGAUCAGAAUGCCACGGUGAAUACGUUCCCGGGCCUUGUACACACCGCCCGUCACACCAUGGGAGUGGGCUGCACCAGAAGUAGAUAGCUUAACCUUUCGGGGAGGGCGUUUACCACGGUGUGGUUCAUGACUGGGGUGAAGUCGUAACAAGGUAGCGCUAGGGGAACCUGGCGCUGGAUCACCUCCUUAUACGA
rnacentral:rRNA from 1 species